CAUGCCAUUUGACCAAGAUGCUGUAUUAUCUCACUCCCUGAAAACAAAGGCAUAGAAUUCAAGAUUCAGAGUGUGGCUAAUAUGAAGCAUGGAGGUCUUCCUUCUGCCCUGAUCAUAGGGAAAUUAAAGCAGGAAGAUAGACUUGCUGAAUAAUAUCUACUAUUAAAGAUGCGGAAUCUCAAGAUCCAUCCAUGAGCUACUGAAUCUUCAGUUUAAUAAUGUUCCAGGUGAUUCCUAAACACCUUAAAGUUUGAGAUGUCCUUCUCCAGAUCAAUGGAUCUCAUCCCCAUUCGAAUCACCUGGAGAACUAGAAUCACCUGGAUGGUUUUAAAACAGUUCUGAUGCCUGGUCUCCACCAUGGGCCAACUGAAUCAGAAAUCAGCUUGGCCACCCACUAGUCUGAGGAAGGAAUUCUCCUUAGAAUUUGUUUAAGAAACUUAAAAAGGUUGGAGUAUAUAUGCAAUAAGGAAAUGAAAAGGAUUGAAUGACACUUAAAAAUGUAGACAAUUUUACAUCAAAGAGCCACAAGUAUGCAUGUUAGUCUCAAAUAGUGUACUCAGAAAAGAGGAACACAGCUGUCAUAUUGAAAAUAUUCUCUUUACCCAUCAAAAUCAGAAACACUCUUAAGGCAUGAUAAGUGGUUAGUUUCUCUUAGCCUAGGAGGCCUGGUCUUGGUUUGGGGAGCAUUGGGUUGGAGCUUAUGUGAUGUUAGUGCCCAGGCAGCCAAGGAAUGUUACUAGUUUUAAGAGUCCAGGACUGUUCAGUCAGGGUGAAGUUGAGCACAUUGAGCCCAGUAAAAAAGGAAAGGGGGGGUUGAGAAGAUGACAGAUGACUCCAGGGCGCUUGAAGAAAUUCAUGUGACUCCAGGAGACAUGAAUUUCCAUGGGAACCAUGUGCUAGGAUAUGUGACCCAAAGUGAAGGAUCAAUUUUUCAGACACCAAAGACACACACAAACAAGUCCUAGCUUCAGGCAGAGAGGAGCAGGAGAGUCCUCAUUCGUGUUGGUCAGAAGAUUUCAG
rnacentral:lncRNA from 1 species